rnacentral:lncRNA from 1 species
UCUGAAUCCCAGGCUCUAAGCUACUUAAUCUCUCUGAAGCUCUCAUUUGUAUAAUGGGGGAUUAGGACUCACCUUGGAGGAUUACUUUGAGGGUUAAAUAUGCGUUUGUGGAGCACCUAUUGGUUACCGGGGCGUAGCGUGAACCCUGGUGCCUCUUCUCCAGGGCAGCGUCGAGGGUACUCUGGAAAAGAGCGGGCAGCGAGCGGUCCUCCCAAGGUAUUGUUCUUGCAGAUUCAAAGGGUUCAUGGCCUUGUGGGAAAGACUGACCUACAAAACUAAGCCAGAAUACAUUGCACUACAUGCAAAGCAGCGCAAAGCCUUGGAGAACCCAGAGCAUGGUGCAGCUGACGCUGUGACUGCCGCAGAGGAGGCUAUGGUAGCUGGACCUUAAAAGGCAAGUCCUGUUAGGAGCACAGACUACAGGAACAGGGGCUGGGAGAAGGGAGAGCUGGAGCCACAGUGGAGAAGAAGGACAUAGGCACUACAUCCAGGGACUCAGGGGCAGCAUGGUGCAGCUCAAGCGCACAGCUUAGGGACCAGCAAAUGCCAGAGAGACCAGAGAGGGGAGGAGGGGCUGGGCUGUGCGGAGAGUUCAUGCCACCUUGCUUUUGCUGCUGUCUCCCAUCUGCCCCUGCUUGAGCCUGAGUAAGAGGGGAUUGUCCUGAGGGUACCGUGAGGGGAUAGUUCAUAUAUUGAAGCAGGAAACCAUUUCUGGCCACAGAAGUACUUAGAUGAAAGCCUGGAGAACUUUGCUACAUAGUUAAGCAGUAGUAGAAAGCAAAGCAAGACAAUUGUGGAAAAUUAUUACUUUAAUUCAAUCAGUGGUAGCCCUUUCCCCUUUCUCUCUCCAGAUGGAAAGGAUGGGGAAAGAGGCAGGCUGCUCAAAGUGCUUGAGCCGGCAUCAGACAUAAAAAAAAAAAAAAAGAAAAAAAAACCUUAAUGCAUGACAUAAAGCAUGGGUAAUGAUUCUUUUAUGCUCUCUGUACUUAUAAUCAAGUGAAAUUCUUUGUUAUUAAAUACAUAAACUUCA